rnacentral:lncRNA from 1 species
AGAAGAUUGCUUAACUCAUCCCAAUUUACAUAGAUGAAAUCUUGAGAAGAUUUCAUAUGGAGAAAUUGGUUUACUCUUAAGCGGUAUGUUGGAAAGGUUCCAAACAUGAAGCAACCGUUGAUUCAAUAGUAGAAACCUAAUACAUGGAUACUUCAGAAGUAGCAAAGAGUUGCAAUAUGGAUCAUGAUGUUCAUAAAUGAACUUGGAGUAGUUCCUAAUAUUGUUGAUCACAUACAAUAGUAUUGUGAUAACAAUAGAGCCAUUGCGAAAGCAAAGGAACUAAGGUCUCAUCAAUGAUCCAAACAUGUAUUAAAACGGUAUAAUCUCAUCAGAGAGAUAAUACAUAGAAAUGACGUAAAGAGAAGAGCAAAUUUUCACAUUUAAUAAAAUUGCAGAUCCACUGACAAAGAGUUGUCGUAGUAUAAACAUGAUCAUCAUGUAGACUUAUGAUAUUUGAUACAUAAGUGAUUGGAUCUAGUGCAAGUGGGAGUUUGUAAGUAUUAUGCCCUAGGUCCAAUCGACUUUGGACAUAAAUACUUUUAUAUAUAAUUAAUGCAAUUAAAUGGCAGAUCUAUUAUUUAAUUAAUAGACAAUUAAAUAAAUAAUAGAGUCCGUAGAUUCAAAUAUUUGUAAUUUGUUAAUCACAAGGAGUUGUGAUUGUGAGAUACAAAUUACAUCUGAUUGAAUCUUAAAUCAUCC